UUGAACGCUGGCGGCAGGCCUAACACAUGCAAGUCGAGCGGAUGAAGGGAGCUUGCUCCUGGAUUCAGCGGCGGACGGGUGAGUAAUGCCUAGGAAUCUGCCUGGUAGUGGGGGAUAACGUCCGGAAACGGGCGCUAAUACCGCAUACGUCCUGAGGGAGAAAGUGGGGGAUCUUCGGACCUCACGCUAUCAGAUGAGCCUAGGUCGGAUUAGCUAGUUGGUGGGGUAAAGGCCUACCAAGGCGACGAUCCGUAACUGGUCUGAGAGGAUGAUCAGUCACACUGGAACUGAGACACGGUCCAGACUCCUACGGGAGGCGGCAGUGGGGAAUAUUGGACAAUGGGCGAAAGCCUGAUCCAGCCAUGCCGCGUGUGUGAAGAAGGUCUUCGGAUUGUAAAGCACUUUAAGUUGGGAGGAAGGGCAGUAAGUUAAUACCUUGCUGUUUUGACGUUACCAACAGAAUAAGCACCGGCUAACUUCGUG
rnacentral:rRNA from 1 species